rnacentral:rRNA from 1 species
UGGGGAAUAUUGGACAAUGGGGGAAACCCUGAUCCAGCGACGCCGCGUGGGUGAAGAAGGCCUGCGGGUUGUAAAGCCCUUUCGGCAGGGACGAAAGCUCUUGCUCUAAUAAUGCAAGAGGUUGACUUAACCUACAUAAGAAGCACCGGCUAACUACGUGCCAGCAGCCGCGGUAAUACGUAGGGUGCAAGCGUUGUCCGGAAUUCCUGGGCGUAAAGCGCACGUAGGCGGAUUGGAAAGUCAGAGGUG